AACUUGGCCAACUUCAACGGGAUUUUGGAUCUAGUUAAAAGAUAUUCAUAACAUCAAAGUGUACGAAUUUUAAAGUGCAAUUUUCACUACUUCAGCAUUAAAAAUUAAAGAAACGGCUCAAAUUCUGAAAAGUCUGAUAAGAAAGAGAACUUUAUAAGUUGAAGUGAAUGUGAAGACAGCAAUCGACUCGACACUCUUUGCAGUAACGAUUUCAUCGACAAAUGGAUCUGUGAAGCACAAAUUAUUGCCUACGAACGAUGGGGUCAAGUCAAGAAAGACACCAGUCGAACCAAGAAGACCGUGAGAGUUUGCCAGGAGUAUCGACUCAGGAGAUGUAGGAAAAUCGGUCCAGCAUACGAAAGGUCACAAAUAGAAGGUGAACGAAAGGAAGCAAAGAGGCCAAUAUAAUACAAGAAUUUCUGCAGGAAUAUGGAACCGGAAAAAUGACCUCUUCUUCUGAAAAUCUACAUGUAAAAAAUUAAAGCCUAGAAUUCAAAGGAGGAGAAAGAAGGAGAAAGGGAGGGAGGGCAGUGGGUGGUAAUGAACCAGAAGGAGGGAUGAAAGAGGACAUUGGGAGUGCAAAAGAGAUUUAAAGAAAGGUUAAACGACGCUUCAGGCUAUGGACCAAGAAUGCGGAACCGAGGACGAAGUCAAAGUUUCUUUCCUUUUUCAUCGUAUUCCACAAUCUCGUUCUCCUUUGCUAUUAUUUUCUUUCAUCAUUUCUGAAAAGAUUUCUUCAAGGACUUUUUCCUAUAGUGAUUGUUCAAUUAUAGUGACAGACGUAUCACAAGGAAUGUCGUAGGUUAAUUGAAAAUUCAAAGAGAAUCCGCAAAGAGUGCCACUGGAUGUGGAAAUUAUUUUUUUCUAGGCCUAGGGCAAGAAAGCUAUGAUUCUUCUUUCAUCGAAUCGAAUUGAAUUCCCACUGUGGAACGGACAGGGACGAGAAUUUUUAUUCGCGGUGGUAAGGAAUUCAAUCUGCUUGCGAAAUAGGCCUAGCACAAUGUCCUGAGAAUGUCAGGGCUAGCAACCACACAUUUUCUUUCGUUGCGUCGUUUGCUUGUAUUGACACUGGUGAGAAGUGGCACAGAAUUGUACUGAAUUUUAUAAUUCGAUAGUGUUUGUUGAAAUUACGCAGGAUAGCUGCUAGAAUAUAAAAUAACAGUUAAUUUAUUUUUUCGCCAGAAAUUUUACAAAUGUUUAAAAGAAAUGUCUAUACAAUGACUCGAAACACUGAAAACUUCAUAUCGUAUUCAUAAUAAUAAAUACAAUUUAAAGUUUAUUUAAAGUC